GGGCCCAUAGCUCAGCGGUUAGAGCCCCCGGCUCAUAACCGGGUUGUCCCUGGUUCGAAUCCAGGUGGGCCCA
rnacentral:tRNA from 3 species